rnacentral:rRNA from 1 species
GACGGAGGGUGCGAGCGUUAUUCGGAAUCAUUGGGCGUAAAGAGCGUGUAGGCGGCCGGUUAAGUCAGGUGUGAAAGCCCGGGGCUCAACCUCGGAAGUGCACUUGAAACUGGUCGGCUUGAGUUCGGGAGAGGGUAGCGGAAUUCCUGGUGUAGAGGUGAAAUUCGUAGAUAUCAGGAGGAACACCGGUGGCGAAGGCGGCUACCUGGACCGAAGCUGACGCUGAGACGCGAAAGCGUGGGGAGCAAACAGG